rnacentral:rRNA from 1 species
CGAACGCUGAAGCCUAGCUUGCUGGGUGGAUGAGUGGCGAACGGGUGAGUAACACGUGAGUAACCUGCCCUCUUCUUUGGGAUAACGCCCGGAAACGGGUGCUAAUACUGGAUAUUCACUGAUUCUCGCAUGGGGGUUGGUGGAAAGGUUUUUUCUGGUGGGGGAUGGGCUCGCGGCCUAUCAGCUUGUUGGUGGGGUGAUGGCCUACCAAGGCUUUGACGGGUAGCCGGCCUGAGAGGGUGACCGGUCACAUUGGGACUGAGAUACGGCCCAGACUCCUACGGGAGGCAGCAGUGGGGAAUAUUGCACAAUGGGCGAAAGCCUGAUGCAGCGACGCCGCGUGAGGGAUGGAGGCCUUCGGGUUGUAAACCUCUUUCGCUCAUGGUCAAGCCGCAACUUAGGGUUGUGGUGAGGGUAGUGGGUAAAGAAGCGCCGGCUAACUACGUGCCAGCAGCCGCGGUAAUACGUAGGGCGCGAGCGUUGUCCGGAAUUAUUGGGCGUAAAGGGCUUGUAGGCGGUUGGUCGCGUCUGCCGUGAAAUCCUCUGGCUUAACUGGGGGCGUGCGGUGGGUACGGGCUGACUUGAGUGCGGUAGGGGAGACUGGAACUCCUGGUGUAGCGGUGGAAUGCGCAGAUAUCAGGAAGAACACCGGUGGCGAAGGCGGGUCUCUGGGCCGUUACUGACGCUGAGGAGCGAAAGCGUGGGGAGCGAA